rnacentral:rRNA from 11 species
CGAGUGGCGGACGGGUGAGUAAUGCUUGGGAACUUGCCUUUGCGAGGGGGAUAACAGUUGGAAACGACUGCUAAUACCGCAUAAUGUCUUCGGACCAAACGGGGCUUCGGCUCCGGCGCAAAGAGAGGCCCAAGUGAGAUUAGCUAGUUGGUAAGGUAACGGCUUACCAAGGCGACGAUCUCUAGCUGUUCUGAGAGGAAGAUCAGCCACACUGGGACUGAGACACGGCCCAGACUCCUACGGGAGGCAGCAGUGGGGAAUAUUGCACAAUGGGGGAAACCCUGAUGCAGCCAUGCCGCGUGUGUGAAGAAGGCCUUCGGGUUGUAAAGCACUUUCAGUUGUGAGGAAAAGUUAGUAGUUAAUACCUGCUAGCCGUGACGUUAACAACAGAAGAAGCACCGGCUAACUCCGUGCCAGCAGCCGCGGUAAUACGGAGGGUGCGAGCGUUAAUCGGAAUUACUGGGCGUAAAGCGCACGCAGGCGGUUUGUUAAGCUAGAUGUGAAAGCCCCGGGCUCAACCUGGGAUGGUCAUUUAGAACUGGCAGACUAGAGUCUUGGAGAGGGGAGUGGAAUUCCAGGUGUAGCGGUGAAAUGCGUAGAUAUCUGGAGGAACAUCAGUGGCGAAGGCGACUCCCUGGCCAAAGACUGACGCUCAUGUGCGAAAGUGUGGGUAGCGAACAGGAUUAGAUACCCUGGUAGUCCACACCGUAAACGCUGUCUACUAGCUGUGUGUG